rnacentral:lncRNA from 1 species
CAAGAAUCAAUCACAAGCACGCACACUGAAUCUAAAUCGAGAACAAAGUGAGAAAUGAACCUCAAAAGGAGUUAUCGGAUUUCUCACGCACACUGAACCUAAAUCGGGAACAAAGUGAGAAAUGAACCUCAAAAGGAGUAAUCGGAUUUCCUUCGUACUCGAAAGUUAUACAAGACCUUUGAACAAAGUCGAGCAAUUCACAUCACGAACUGGGACGGAAAAAAGCAACAGAAAGUUACUCUGUGAACCUCGAACCUCAGACGACACAUUGAGUCAAGCUAAAAUAGCUGUCAGACCCAAACGAACUCUGUUGUUUGAAGCAAAAAAACUGAACGAAGAAACUGAAACAUUUUUUAUCAUCCGUAUUUUUUGUUCGUUCUUGUGUAUGUGUGUGUGUUGUGGUCGUAUUCGGGUGGUGAAGAGGUGAGGCUGAUGGACUGUGGUAGCUGCAUUUUUGAAUUGAAGGUCGGAGAUGGUUGGCGGGUGGCGGCGCGAAUGGUGAGGUUAGCGGCGGAGGACAUGACUAGCUUUUGGGCGUGCGGUGCUGCUUAAGGGCUGAAGAAGAAAAAGUUUCAGGGGGGUGGUUCAGCUGCUGGUGUUGUUCGUUCAAGUAGAAGACUAUUAGGGUGGUCGUGAGUGGCGGCUCCAGGUUGUUGAUGUUCUAGGGUUCUUCAAUGUUUUCCUCCAUUGUUAUCUUUUUCUAAGCUGAAGAAGAAGACUAGGUUCUCCGUCUAGGGUUUUUUUAAUGUCUAAGGUUCUAGGUUUUGGGCUUUAAUAAUUUAGCUCUAGUCUCUUACAAACAUUGGGCUAAAAACAAAAGCUGAAAUUUUAAUUUAAAUGCCUACAAAAUAUAAAAAUUCUUAAUUGAAAUUGAUAAACUAUUAAUAUUAAAAAUAAAAUCUAAAAAUGAAAGUUGAAACUAUAACAAAAGACUCGAAAAUCUUAACUAGAUUGAUAGACUCGAUACUAUUGCAGAGGACUAAAGAUUCAUCAGACAAAACAAGAAGUACUAUAACAAAAGACUCGAAAAUCUUAACUAGAUUGAUAGACUCGAUACUAUUGUAGAGGACUAAAAAUUAAAAGAUAACAUAAGAUAAACUAAAAAAAAUAGAAAGUUUCCUCAAGCAGUCAGUGUCUGCAAUGGUCUUGACUAGAUUGAUCCUAGGUAUUAGUCAUGCUCAAACUCUAGCAAAUUAAUCCAUACCUGAAUGGGAAAAAUUAAGAUCAAAUAGAGUUAGUGACUUAAGACACAUGAAACGCCACAACGCCUUCUAUUGGACACGUGCAAGGCAUGAUUAAGACUAUUUUUGCAAAAUGAUCUACGUGGCCAAGGGUGGCUAUUUGACGCCAUAACAUCUUCUAUUGGACACAUGCAAGACGUGCUUGGGCUAAUUUUGCAAAAUGACUUUAGUGACUGAAAGGGGCUAUUAGUGCAACUUGAUAAAAUUGACCCCAUAAUGCAUGAAAAAUAAUCUAUUUAAAGAUUGCAUGACUCAUUGACUCUAACAUCUCAACAAUAAAUGGCCUUAAAAAAAAUUACUUUGCGAAAAUGGCCUAGUUUGCAAAAUGGCCUAUAUGACCAAAUGUGGCUAAAACUGCAAACUCAAAAAGGAAGGACCUUAAAGUAAUAUGACACCUAGUUGUGCACCCUAAGACAUGGGUAAUUGAACCACUUUUGCAAAAAUGGCCCCAUUUAAUAAUAAUGGUCGAUGUGGCCUAAAGUGGCUAGACGUGCAAGAUUUGGCUAAGACCCUGCAAAGCCAAGAACCUAAGAUUAGGAAGACCGGACCCUAUGUGGGUUGCCUACGUAUCUCGCCCCAGAAGACGAGAAUAAGGUUCGCGUAGUUCGGAAAGAUGCAACUAAUUUAAAAAAAAUAUAUAUAUUUUUGUCUUUUUUGAAAAAUGAUGAAAAAUGUAGACUCUUUUUGGAUUUUCUUUUAAAUUUUGGAAAAUAAUAGAAAAUGUAAAAAAAAAAUUGGAUUUUAUUAUUUAUUUAUUAAAAAAAUUUAAUGAAAAAUAAUGGAGAAGUGCAAAAUCUUGGAUAUUUUAUUUCCAUUUUUUGUGAAUUUAUGGGAAGAAGAUGGCAAAGUGUAAUUUUUUUUGUAUUUUGUAUUUUCAUUUUUUUGAAUUUUUGGAAAAUGAUGGUAAAGUGUAACAUAUUUUUUUUAUUUUCUAUUUUCAAUUUUAUUUUUAUUCCUGAAAGACUAUGAAAGAAAAAUGCGAUUGUGCCUUGCUUGCUUUUCUUUUCACCCUUUUUUCCAAAUAUUUUGAAAAACUAUGAAAGAAAAAUGCGAGUGAAGCCUUCUUGCUUUAUUUCUCCCUUCUUUCCAAAUAUCGGUCCGCCAAAUGACUUUUUACCUUCAAAGAUGCAACAUUUACCACAUAUGAUGAUUAAAUAUAAUUUUGGGCCGCGGGACCAUUUUGACAAAAUUUGGACAUACUCCCUACAAAAGGACACGGUGCCUGGGAUCGAGCCUUACUAAGUGUGAAUAACAUAAUGCAAAAAAAAAUGAUCUAAAUGCUGACCUACAUUUGGGGUUCACUAACAAGGAAAUUCGGGGGAGCGUACGUACGGCGGUGUCCCCUCCUAAAUUAAGGGUGACUCGACAAAGAGUUCGCGCACGUGACGCGUGCUCCGAGACUUGUCGUAGAAAGAAGACACAUGGUUAUGCAAAUGAUGAAUAUUUAUAAAGCAGUAACACGAAAAGAAAAAAUUGUAAACAAAUAAGCAACUAGCAAAUAAUAAAAUGACAUAAGCAAAAUAAAAAUCAAAUAAAGCAAACAAAAUACAGAAAAACCUCAACUGAAUAUCCUAAAAACCAAUAAAAUGAACUACUAACUCGAACCCGCAACUCCCCAGCAGAGUCGCCAGAGAUAUCACACCCAUUUUUUAACCAAACUCUACUAAACCCUCGUAAAUUAAUAAAAAGAAUUAGUAAAGCUUGAAAAGGGUUUUCAAUUUUGAAAGUGACAAAAAUUGUGUUUCAAAAGGAAAUAAACUGAGAGUCGCAACCUGACAUUUGAUUUCGGCAUUUUUUUAAAAAAAUAAUUUUUUCCUUUUAAAAUAUUGCAAACUCUAAAACCAAGUCCACACCAGAGAUUCAGGUAAGGGGGCUCGUUUGACUCGGGGAGAAGGUGUUAGGCAUUCCCCAAGUCCUGUAACUAGUACGGUUGCUUACUUGAUCUAAUUGGCUUUUAAAAUAUUAUAAUUGAGAAACAAACACAGAAAAGCAAAAUAAACACACAAGAGGUUCGAGGUCGCUCCCACCUAAUAAAAGGAAAAUAGAACUAAAACUAAAUGAAUUUCACUUUAGGCCUCCAAAUACAAGUAUGUCGGCGCAUUCUCCGGAUAAAUUUAACUAAAGAAACGACCUCUCGCCUCGAAACUAACAAAAUCCUAAGACUUGCCUAUCCAAGUGUACUCGGCCUAGAUAUGCUACUAGUGGAUACAAUAAAGUGAAAUAGAAGGAGAAUAAAACUAAAACAAAACAGGGGCCUCAAUCUAUUUUAGCUUCAUUUAAGCCCAAACCCCACAGACCAAUUCUUUUCAUUAUCUUCUUUCAUUACUAUGUGAGAUUCACAUUAGAUAUCAACGCAUAUUUAGAUAUUAGAUACUAAUUUAAUUAGAUAUUAAAUUCAAACAAUCCAUUAUUGAGGAAGAUAGUAAAUAGGAUGGUGAUAGACUUGGAUGAAUCUCAACUAUCAAACCAAACAAAGCUGAGUCACAAACAGAAGCAACAAAUAGCAUUCAUGUCAUCAAGAAUCAAUCACAAGCACGCACACUGAAUCUAAAUCGAGAACAAAGUGAGAAAUGAACCUCAAAAGGAGUUAUCGGAUUUCCUUCGAUACUCGAAAGUUAUACAAGACCUUUGAACAAAGUCGAGCAAUUCACAUCACGAACUGGGACGGAAAAAAGCAACAGAAAGUUACUCUGUGAACCACGAACCUCGGACGACACUUCGAGUCAAGCCGAAAUAGCUGUCACACCCAAACGAACUCUGUUGUUUGAAGCAAAAAAUUGAACGAAGAAACUGAAAUGUUUUCUAUCUUCCUCAUUUUGUGUUCGUGCUUACGUUUGUGCGUGUGUGUUGUGGUCGGAUUCGGGUGGUGAGGAGGUGAGGCUGAUGGACUGUGGUAGCUGCAUUUUUGAAUUGAAGGCAGAAGAUGGUUGGCCGGUGGCGGCGAGAAUGAUGAGGUUAGCGGCGGGGGAGAUGACUAGCUUUUGGGCGUGGGGUGCUGCUUAAGGGCUGAAGAAGAAAAAGUUUUAGGGGAGUGGUUCAGCUGCUGGUGUUGUUCGUUCAAGGAGAAGGCUAUUAGGGUGGUGGUGAGUGGCCGCUCCAGGUUGUUGAUGUUCUAGGGUUCUUCAAUGUUUUCCUCCAUUGUUAUCUUUUUCUAAGCUGAAAAAGAAGACUAGGUUCUCCGUCUAGGUUUUUUUUAAUGUCUAAGGUUCUAGUUUUUGGGCUUUAAAAAUUGGGCUCUAGUCUCUUACAAAUAUUGGGCAAAAAAUGAAAGCUAAAAAUUUAAUUUAAAUGUCUACAAAAUAUAAAAACUCUUAAUUGAAAUUGAUAAACUAUUAAUAUUAAAAGUAAAAGCUAAAAAUGAAAGUU